rnacentral:lncRNA from 1 species
GUGCUAUUCAUUUUAAACGUAACACGUACAGUACUAACAACACAAUUCAUAAACAACAAUAAACAUAAUCCAAUCAAUUUUGUUGAUUGGAUAAUUCACGGCUCAGUAGUUGUGUAAUCAGUGACACGUGCCCUCAUUAUUUCAUAAGAAUUAACAUAUCUAUCUAAGUUCGAUUUCAAAUUCUACCAAAAUCUAACUCUUAAAUAAGCAGCAUGUAACGAACAUAUUCAUCCAUCCUGUGUGCAAAUACGAUGACUAUAAAGGGUCCUGAGUGCACAUUGUAUGUCCUGAGUGCACUCAGGAGGUCCUGAGCGGUGUUUAGACGUACC